UUAUGGCCAUAUCACAUUGAAACACCAGUUCCCAUACAAAGCUAAGCAACAUCAAGCCUGGUCAAUACCUAGAUGGGUGACCACUUGGGAAUACCAGGGGCUGUAAG